GUGCCAGCCGCCGCGGUAAUACCGGUGGCUCGAGUGGUGGCCGCUAUUAUUGGGUCUAAAGGGUCCGUAGCCGGCCUGAUAAGUUACCUGGGAAAUCCGGUGGCCUAACCAUCGGGCGGCCAGGUAAUACUAUCAGGCUCGGGACUAGGAGAGACCAGAGGUACUCAUGAGGUAGGAGUGAAAUCCUGUAAUCUUAUGAGGACCACCAGUGGUGAAGACGUCUGGUUAGAAUAGGUCCGACGGUGAGGGACGAAGGCUGGGGGCGCAAACCGGAUUAGAUACCCGGGUAGUCCCAGCAGUAAACGAUGCCAGCUAUGUGUUGCUGGAACCAUGGGUUCCAGCAGUGCCGAAGGGAAGCCGUGAAGCUGGCCACCUGGGAAGUACGGUCGCAAGGCUGAAACUUAAAGGAAUUGGCGGGGGAGUACCACAACCGGUGGAGCCUGCGGUUUAAUUGGAUACAACGCCGGGAAUCUUACCGGAGGGGACAGCAGUAUGAAGGCCAGGCUAAAGACCUUGCCAGAUCAGCUGAGAGGAGGUGCAUGGCCGUCGCCAGUUCGUACCGUGAGGCAUCCUGUUUAGUCAGGCAACGAUCGAAACCCGCAGUCUUAUUUGCCAGCAUGCCCU
rnacentral:rRNA from 1 species